ACUACGGGUGGCAGCAGUGGGGAAUAUUGGGCAAUGGGCGCAAGCCUGACCCAGCAACGCCGCGUGAAGGAAGAAGGCUUUCGGGUUGUAAACUUCUUUUCUCAGGGACGAAGAAAGUGACGGUACCUGAGGAAUAAGCCACGGCUAACUACGUGCCAGCAGCCGCGGUAAUACGUAGGUGGCAAGCGUUAUCCGGAUUUAUUGGGUGUAAAGGGCGUGUAGGCGGGAGCGCAAGUCAGAUGUGAAAACUCAGGGCUCAACCCUGAGCCUGCAUUUGAAACUGUGUUUCUUGAGUGCUGGAGAGGCAAUCGGAAUUCCGUGUGUAGCGGUGAAAUGCGUAGAUAUACGGAGGAACACCAGUGGCGAAGGCGGAUUGCUGGACAGUAACUGACGCUGAGGCGCGAAAGCGUGGGGAGCAAAUGGGAUUAGAUACCCCAGUAGUC
rnacentral:rRNA from 1 species